rnacentral:rRNA from 2 species
UGCAGUCGAGCGAACUGAUUAGAAGCUUGCUUCUAUGACGUUAGCGGCGGACGGGUGAGUAACACGUGGGCAACCUGCCUGUAAGACUGGGAUAACUUCGGGAAACCGAAGCUAAUACCGGAUAGGAUCUUCUCCUUCAUGGGAGAUGAUUGAAAGAUGGUUUCGGCUAUCACUUACAGAUGGGCCCGCGGUGCAUUAGCUAGUUGGUGAGGUAACGGCUCACCAAGGCAACGAUGCAUAGCCGACCUGAGAGGGUGAUCGGCCACACUGGGACUGAGACACGGCCCAGACUCCUACGGGAGGCAGCAGUAGGGAAUCUUCCGCAAUGGACGAAAGUCUGACGGAGCAACGCCGCGUGAGUGAUGAAGGCUUUCGGGUCGUAAAACUCUGUUGUUAGGGAAGAACAAGUACGAGAGUAACUGCUCGUACCUUGACGGUACCUAACCAGAAAGCCACGGCUAACUACGUGCCAGCAGCCGCGGUAAUACGUAGGUGGCAAGCGUUAUCCGGAAUUAUUGGGCGUAAAGCGCGCGCAGGCGGUUUCUUAAGUCUGAUGUGAAAGCCCACGGCUCAACCGUGGAGGGUCAUUGGAAACUGGGGAACUUGAGUGCAGAAGAGAAAAGCGGAAUUCCACGUGUAGCGGUGAAAUGCGUAGAGAUGUGGAGGAACACCAGUGGCGAAGCGGCUUUUUGGUCUGUAACUGACGCUGAGCGCGAAAGCGUGGGGAGCAAACAGGAUAGAUACCCUGGU